CACUCUUCUUCUUUCUCCUGUUAACCUUGUCGCCGCACCGUGGAGUUCUCCAUGGCCUUCACCUUGAGAUAUCCGGUGGAGAUCAGCGUGAUGGUUAUUUGUUUCACCGACGCAGAUUCUGCAGCUGCUGCAUGCGUGCGUCCGCAUCUGCCUUGGCUCCAUUCCAAGCAAAGCAAGAGGCCUUCUCCUUGCGGAAGACUUCUUCCCAAGCUUGCACGCAAAGCUUCUUCGGCUGAGGAAGUGGGAGGUCUUGUAAGAGGUGGUGUGUCGUCGCAUGGGCGGUGAAAUGCCGGUGUCGAUGUUACGUCUCCUCCUUAUUUUGUUUUAGCAGCCAAAAACCCCCCAUGGAUUGUGUUGAUCCAUCUAUUGGAGCCAUGACAUCUUUUAGGUUGAAGGAUUCAUCCCAACCACCGUUUCGACUAAUUUGAUGGACUUUACCUCGAA